rnacentral:rRNA from 1 species
CCUACGGGAGGCAGCAGUGGGGGAUAUUGCACAAUGGGGGAAACCCUGAUGCAGCGACGCCGCGUGGGUGAAGAAGCGCCUCGGCGCGUAAAGCCCUGUCAGCAGGGAAGAAAAUGACGGUACCUGAAGAAGAAGCCCCGGCUAACUACGUGCCAGCAGCCGCGGUAAUACGUAGGGGGCAAGCGUUAUCCGGAUUUACUGGGUGUAAAGGGGGCGCAGACGGCGAUGCAAGCCAGGAGUGAAAGCCCGGGGCCCAACCCCGGGACUGCUCUUGGAACUGCGUGGCUAGAGUGCAGGAGGGGCAGGCGGAAGUCCUGGUGUAGCGGUGAAAUGCGUAGAUAGCAGGAGGAACACCGGUGGCGAAGGCGGCCUGCUGGACUGCAACUGACGUUGAGGCCCGAAAGCGUGGGGAGCAAACAGGAUUAGAUACCCCAGUAGUC